rnacentral:rRNA from 1 species
GAGUUUGAUCCUGGCUCAGGAUGAACGCUGGCGGCGUGCUUAACACAUGCAAGUCGAACGAGGAAUUUUAAAUGAGACUUCGGUGGAUUUUAAAAUUCUUAGUGGCGGACGGGUGAGUAACGCGUGGGCAACCUGCCCUGUACAGGGGGGACGAACAGCUGGAACGGACUGCUAAUACCGCAUAAGACCACGGAGCCGCAUGGCUCAGUGGGAAAAACGUACCGGUGGUACAGGA